UACGUAGGGUGCGAGCGUUGUCCGGAAUUACUGGGCGUAAAGAGCUCGUAGGCGGUCUGUCGCGUCGGAUGUGAAAACCCAGGGCUCAACCCUGGGCCUGCAUUCGAUACGGGCAGACUAGAGUAUGGCAGGGGAGACUGGAAUUCCUGGUGUAGCGGUGAAAUGCGCAGAUAUCAGGAGGAACACCGGUGGCGAAGGCGGGUCUCAGGGCCAAAACUGACGCUGAGGAGCGAAAGCGUGGGGAGCGAACAGG
rnacentral:rRNA from 1 species